CAGCAGCCGCGGUAAUACGGAGGGUGCAAGCGUUACUCGGAAUCACUGGGCGUAAAGGACGCGUAGGCGGAUUAUCAAGUCUCUUGUGAAAUCUAACGGCUUAACCGUUAAACUGCUUGGGAAACUGAUAAUCUAGAGUAAGGGAGAGGCAGAUGGAAUUCUUGGUGUAGGGGUAAAAUCCGUAGAGAUCAAGAAGAAUACCCAUUGCGAAAGCGAUCUGCUGGAACUUAACUGACGCUAAUGCGUGAAAGCGUGGGGAGCAGACAGGAUUAGAUACCCCCGUAGUCCCUGUCUCUUAUAC
rnacentral:rRNA from 1 species